AGAUUGAACGCUGGCGGCAUGCCUUACACAUGCAAGUCGAACGGUAGAGUAGCAAUACUUGAGAGUGGCGAACGGGUGAGUAAUAUAUCGGAACGUGCCCAGUCGUGGGGGAUAACGUAGAGAAAUUUACGCUAAUACCGCAUACGAUCUAAGGAUGAAAGCGGGGGACCGUAAGGCCUCGCGCGAUUGGAGCGGCUGAUAUCAGAUUAGGUUGUUGGUGAGGUAAAAGCUCACCAAGCCGACGAUCUGUAGCUGGUUUGAGAGAACGACCAGCCACACUGGGACUGAGACACGGCCCAGACUCCUACGGGAGGCAGCAGUGGGGAAUAUUGGACAAUGGGCGAAAGCCUGAUCCAGCAAUGCCGCGUGAGUGAUGAAGGCCUUAGGGUUGUAAAGCUCUUUACCCGAGAUGAUAAUGAC
rnacentral:rRNA from 1 species